ACGGGAGGCAGCAGUGGGGAAUAUUGCACAAUGGGCGAAAGCCUGAUGCAGCGACGCCGCGUGAGGGAUGACGGCCUUCGGGUUGUAAACCUCUUUCAGCAGGGAAGAAGCGAAAGUGACGGUACCUGCAGAAGAAGCGCCGGCUAACUACGUGCCAGCAGCCGCGGUAAUACGUAGGGCGCGAGCGUUGUCCGGAAUUAUUGGGCGUAAAGAGCUCGUAGGCGGCUUGUCACGUCGGUUGUGAAAGCCCGGGGCUUAACCCCGGGUCUGCAGUCGAUACGGGCAGGCUAGAGUUCGGUAGGGGAGAUCGGAAUUCCUGGUGUAGCGGUGAAAUGCGCAGAUAUCAGGAGGAACACCGGUGGCGAAGGCGGAUCUCUGGGCCGAUACUGACGCUGAGGAGCGAAAGCGUGGGGAGCGAACAGGAUUAGAUACCCUGGUAGUCCACGCCGUAAACGGUGGGCACUAGGUGUGGGCAACAUUCCACGUUGUCCGUGCCGCAGCUAACGCAUUAAGUGCCCCGCCUGGGGAGUACGGCCGCAA
rnacentral:rRNA from 1 species